CCUCUGGUAGCUCAGUUGGUAAGAGCGGUGGACUGUAGAUCCAUAGGUCGCUGGUUCAAAUCCGGCCCAGAGGA
rnacentral:tRNA from 1 species